rnacentral:rRNA from 1 species
GUGAGGAAUAUUGGUCAAUGGACGAGAGUCUGAACCAGCCAAGUCGCGUGAAGGAAGACGGUUCUAUGAAUUGUAAACUUCUUUUGUGCAGGAAUAAAGUGGGUUACGUGUAACCUUUUGUAUGUACUGUACGAAUAAGGAUCGGCUAACUCCGUGCCAGCAGCCGCGGUAAUACGGAGGAUCCGAGCGUUAUCCGGAUUUAUUGGGUUUAAAGGGUGCGGAGGUGGAUUGAUAAGUCAGCGGUGAAAGUUUGAAGCUUAACUGUAAAAUUGCCGUUGAAACUGUCGGUCUUGAGUGCAAAUGAGGUAGGCGGAAUGUGUUGUGUAGCGGUGAAAUGCUUAGAUAUAACACAGAACUCCGAUUGCGAAGGCAGCUUACUGGGAUGCAACUGACACUGAUGCACGAAAGCGUGGGUAUCAAACAGGAUUAGAAACCCGGGUAGUCC